UCUACGGGACGCAGCAGUGGGGAAUAUUGCACAAUGGGCGAAAGCCUGAUGCAGCAACGCCGCGUGAGCGAUGAAGGCCUUCGGGUCGUAAAGCUCUGUCCUCAAGGAAGAUAAUGACGGUACUUGAGGAGGAAGCCCCGGCUAACUACGUGCCAGCAGCCGCGGUAAUA
rnacentral:rRNA from 1 species